AUACGGAGGGUGCAAGCGUUAUUCGGAAUCACUGGGCGUAAAGGACGCGUAGGCGGGUUGGCAAGUCAGAUGUGAAAUCCUACAGCUUAACUGUAGAACUGCAUUUGAAACUGCUAACCUAGAGUAUGGGAGGGGGAGAUGGAAUUAGUGGCGUAGGGGUAAAAUCCGUAGAUAUCACUAGGAAUACCGAAAGCGAAGGCGAUCUCCUGGAACAUAACUGACGCUAAGGCGUGAAAGCGUGGGGAGCAAACAGGAUUAGAUACCCUAGUAGUCC
rnacentral:rRNA from 1 species